rnacentral:rRNA from 1 species
GAUGAACGCUGGCGGCGUGCCUAAUACAUGCAAGUCGAGCGAACAGACGAGAAGCUUGCUUUUCUGAUGUUAGCGGCGGACGGGUGAGUAACACGUGGAUAACCUACCUAUAAGACUGGGAUAACUUCGGGAAACCGGAGCUAAUACCGGAUAAUAUUUUGAACCGCAUGGUUCAAAAGUGAAAGACGGUCUUGCUGUCACUUAUAGAUGGAUCCGCGCUGCAUUAGCUAGUUGGUAAGGUAACGGCUUACCAAGGCAACGAUGCAUAGCCGACCUGAGAGGGUGAUCGGCCACACUGGAACUGAGACACGGUCCAGACUCCUACGGGAGGCAGCAGUAGGGAAUCUUCCGCAAUGGGCGAAAGCCUGACGGAGCAACGCCGCGUGAGUGAUGAAGGUCUUCGGAUCGUAAAACUCUGUUAUUAGGGAAGAACAUAUGUGUAAGUAACUGUACACAUCUUGACGGUACCUAAUCAGAAAGCCACGGCUAACUACGUG